GACGAACGCUGGCGGCGUGCUUAACACAUGCAAGUCGAACGGAAAGGCCCUGCUUUUGUUGGGUGCUCGAUUGGCGAACGUGUGAGUAACACGUGAGUAACCUUCCCUUUACUUUGGGAUAACUUCAGGAAACUUGGGCUCAUACCGGAUAUGAUCUCCUGCUGCAUGGUGUGUGUUGGAAAGUUUCGGCGGUUGGGGAUUGACUCGCGGCUUAUCAGAUUGUUGGUGGGGUAGUGGCUUACCAAGGCUUUGACGGGUAGCCGGCCUGAGAGGGUGACCGGCGACAUUGGGACUGAGAUACGGACCAGACUCCUACGGGAGGCAGCAGUGGGGAAUAUUGCACAAUGGGCGGAAGCCUGAUGCAGAAACGCCGCGUGCGGGAUGACGGCCUUCGGGUUGUAAACCGAUUUCGAAUGUGAAGAAGAGUGAGUGACGGUAAUGGGUAAAGAAGCACCGGCUAACUACGUG
rnacentral:rRNA from 1 species